rnacentral:lncRNA from 1 species
UUUUCCAUAUCCUCAGGCAAUCUCACAGAUCACACAAUCCCACACAGGAGAAGACAGAUGCUGGGAUGGUGGAGGCCACUGGUUCCCACCACAGGUCACAGCUGAGUGCUGCGGGAAAGGCAAGAGGAGCCUCUGCGUGGGGGCACAGUGAAACGGCCAAGGAAGACUGCCUGUCAGGACUGCAUGCGGAAUGACGAGCUGCAUAUGGCGCGGAGGCCUUAGCAAGCAAAAGCUGGGUGUAGCCAUAUCCCUCUGGGCAAAGGCUGUUUUAGGAGAAGAUUUUAUUGGCCACCAAAAUGACUCAGUGACACCAGGCAGAGUCUUCUGGCAAAGGUUCUGCAAACUUAACAUAACGACUGUGUUGUAGAAGAAAAGCUACAGAAGUCUUUUUCAUUAGGUAAGUGGCAAUAAUAACCCUUUCCACGAGGGCAUCCAAGCAAUUGUGUGAAAGAUGAAAGUUUGCAGUUUUGUGCAGUAGCAGGAAUGGCAGUGGCAUCCUAAGACCGACUCAGACUAAUCUGGUUUAAGCUCCAAAUACGACCUACAUUAAAAGUGGCAGACUCUGAUGAAGCAUAGUGAGGAAUUUUCUCCCACUUGUUCUAAAUCCUGGAGCCUUGACAAUCCAGCCUAUCAUAAAGGAGGAAGUAUUUCUGACCAUAUCUUGGAGAAAUCAAAUGCUGUGUUUAUGCAGGGCUAACAAAUAAACAAAGACCUGUGCUCCCUCUGCUGGCUCUCUAUAGCAAUAUUGAAGCAGAAAGGAACCAUACGUAGUAUUGGCAUCUUCAGCAAACACAAGUCAGUUUGGGUAUUCCGAGAAGAACCACUCAUUUAACUUGGUUUUGAACAUUCUUUGAGAAAAAUCUAUCAACUUCUGACAAAGGCACUUGGAAAUUCUUAAAAUUAGAUAUUAAAUGAGACAUACCUGUAGCCCUUGGCUACCAGAUUGCUAGCUGUGACCGUAAUAGUGAUCUGGGGAUUGAUUGAUCAACAGACACAAGUGGAUUCCUCCAAAAUUUUUAGAUCCAGACACAAUCUUUAAGGCAGUUCUGAAAAAAAUCUCAGGUCCAAUGUAAAGUUCCUUUUUUUCUCUUUUAUAAGAGCAACUUCUAAAAAGCAAAGAUUUACACUAUUUAUAUCUUUUCUGAUAAUGUCAAACACUAGACUUGAUUUUCCAAAUCAUUAGCAUGCAGAAGAAUGACCUCAUGGUGAACAGAUGCACUUGGCUGUGAGCUGCAGUGAUUACAUCAGUCCCUCCCAGCAGUCGAGGGUGCCCAUUCCAGUUAACCCUUUCAAGGCCUCUCUGCCGGUCCCUCUUUCUUGGUGAUAUGAUUGAAAGCACAAAUUUAGUCCCCCACCCCAAUAUGUGUGUGUGUGUGAGAGAGAAAUGUAUAUGUGUAUAUAAAUGUAUUUAUACAUAAAACAUAUAUAUGUUAAUUGCAACCAAUAUUUUAAUACUGGCUACAUUUUAGAUUAUUUAAUGCUGGUCAAAAAAGGAAGGUAAACUAUAGUGCUAGGUAAAAAAGUAGUUGAAAUAUCUUUACAUGUCAGGUGUUAUCAAUACAAGUAAUGGAUGGAAUAGAUACAAGGUAGAUACGAUGGUCUUUAAAAAUAUUUUCUCAUUAGGAAAAUAGAUUUUGUUUUGAAAGCUCUUUGAAAAAUGCCGAGCGCUCAUAUAUUAGCAGCUACACCACCAUGUGUGGUUGACGGCGCAUCCUGAACGCAAGCCUGUUCACCUGGCCAACCCACCCCCGCAGGGCUUGUUGGGCGGAUGGGUAACAGCACCUGGAUGGGGAGAGUCAGAAGCAGAGGGCAUUUUCCAACAGUGGAAGCUUCAGGCACAGGCCAUUCCCACCGAGUGCAUCUCCCACUUUUACUUCAGACUUAAAGGCUGAUUUUGGGGCUUUCCCUCUAGAAGUGGGGGCUGCAUGCUGCUUUCUGGCUUGCUGCUACCAAUACAGUGCAGAAUGAAUGCAGUGUUCAGGUGAUGCUCCCUCUUCAUUAAUAAUAAAGUCCUGGUGGUGAGGAUACAAAGAAAACCUAGGAGCCCCUAAUUCCUCAGAUUGUGCAUACGCAUGUGAGCCCAAGCCCAAGGCCCUGCUUUGAUGACACUGAGGGCCAGAGAUGGUCUGAUUGGGUCCUAAGUGCACUGUGGGAGCUUAAGCCGCUCAGGGUCAAUUUUUCCAGUUGGCUUGUUGCUUGGAAGAACAGACUUCACCUCAAUUUCUUAGUUUAAGCUGGCUGGCUCAUCUGGGUUUGAUCGCCCUUGUCCCAAGAACAUAACAGUGUAAACAAAUGACAAAUGUUUUCAUCUGUAGAAGUAGUAACAGAUAGUGGACAGGGAUUCCUCAAAAGCGAAGCCAGUAUGUAAGCUAGAAGAUGCUUCCGAAAACGUGCUUGUCUAUGGUGCUGAAAUGCUCUGUCCUCAUUGUACUGCCCCACAUUUCAGUUCAAAUCAAGAUUAUAUCUAGUUCAUUCCUACUCAGCGUUAUGAGAAGAUAUGCAAAGAAUUAAAACAGAACAUUAUGCCUAGACUUAAAAAUCACACUUAAGGAUAGGCAUGAUAGACGUAUAAAAAUGUUUCCCACUCAACACUGAAUUCCUUAAACCAUGAACACUAUGAAAUGUAAUACUGAUGUUAAUAAUUUGAAAAGCGGAGGGAGUAGCAUUUGUCUUGAUAUUCCAUGUUUGGUUUCACGUUCCUUUUAGAAGAGUUCCAAUGCCCACCCUCACAUGCUGUCAGAAUCUUCAUUCUGCUAAGCAAUUUUCAAAAAUAUGACGUUCUUGAAGAAGCCUAUUGACAAUCCUCUCCAAGUAGAGUUCUUAAAAACUCAAAUUGCUCCUAGAAUCUCACUCAUUUCUAUUGGUUUAAAUAAUUAUGGAUGUUUGGAAAAGAUCAAAUUAGUUUAUACAGAGGCUAAAAUAUACAUAGAAAACAAAGUCCAUCAUUAUUCAUUUUGAUAAUAUCUUAAUAAUCUUAAGAAUGUAACAGUUAAGGAAUGAAAACAUCUAGUUAUUAUUUACGUGUUUAAUUUUAAGAAGUAAAAAGCUUUCUCAAGAGUUAAACAAACAAACAAAAAACAAAAAACAACCUGCACUGAAAAAUCAAGUCCUCACGAAGAGGGGAAUAAUCUCAUGAGGGUGGGAAAAAGCUGAAUGAGAUCUUUUUAAAAUUAGCUUUGCUACAGAUCCCUCAUGUUCUUUCACUGAAAAAUUAGAAACGAUUUAAAAUCUCUAGCCAGACCGAGUAUGAAAUCUUCAUUUCCCUUGAAACGAAUUUGUUUUUGUCUUAGAUAGAAUGUUGGCAGAGUGUAUAAAAGAAUUCAAUUCACAGCUGUUCCACUUUUUUAAUGUAAGAAACAUUAAUCAAAGCUUUAAGUUAUAAGCUUUUCUCAUGUUGCUUAGUAUUCCAGUUCAACAAAGAUCAAUAGAGGCCAUCCCAGUGUUCCUUGACGCCUCACCAGGAAGCAGAGGCGUGAUUAUGCAAAUCACGCUGCUCCUGCACCUCUGCCAGCCUGCUUAUCUCCCAAGCCUUCUGCCUGCUGCUCCUGGCUCCCUGCGCAAGUGCGUGCCUCUCCCUCUUAUCUCCCAACAAAGCUCUGAGAGGCAAGGAUUGAGGCCAGCGAUGUUAAACAAUGAUGCAUGGCUGAUUUUAUUUGUAAGUGAUUUAUUUCACUGGAUUUAAUUUUUUUUCACUUUGUGUAUAAGAUAUUUGUUAACAAGUCAGAAUAGGAGAAGUAAGGCAGUGUUCAGAGACAAUUGACACAGGUUAGAAAUCUAUUAAGCACUCUAACAGUUUCAUUUAAAGCAGUGGAAGAAGAAGGAAGCUCCUCACUGAGAAUCUCAACAUGCAUUGGCUAAAUAUCCCAUUUAUUCUCUGAAAGGCAAUUAAUCUGUAAUUAUAUGCAGAAAUUUACAAGUAAUAAUUCUAUUAUUUGAAAGAAACACACAGUAAUCACAUAAUCUGUUUAAGUGGCAAUACAUGUAUUUUUCCCCCCAAACUGGAAAUAUAAAAAGAAUAAAAACCUAAAAACAAGGAAAUCUAUGGAAACUUUCACAAUUUUCCACUGGCCCUAAUAAAUGAAAAUUAUUGUAAGCUAGUUUCUAAACGGGUUCCACACCAGGUGCUGCUCCGGUCGGCGGCUUGUCCACAUGACACAAACCACUCCAGAGAGACACGCACACUGCACUGCUGUAAUGAUGGACCCCGGGACACUGUCCUUCCAUGUCUCCUGCAUUAAUCCCUGACCUUCGAAUCUCGGCAGCAUAAUCCCCAUUUAGCAUUAGUAGCAACGGCUUCCACUGUGAGGAACUCUUUUUUGAUAAGUAAGCACUGAUUCGGGCAUCGCUUUUAAACAGCAUAUUCCCAGCUCAGCAAGAAACCCACACUCCUGAAUGAACCGGAGCACAUUACUGAGAAAAAGUUCAUUAACCUUGCUAGAUUUGAAGGUUAACAGGAUAGCUGAAGAAAGGAACUGAGUGAACAGCUCGAAUACAAAACAAAUUAAAAUGAAUGUCAUCAUUCCUUUUGAUAUUCAUUAGUUGAUUCAGAGGGAGAAUGCUCUUCUUAAAUUUGCAAAGCAUUUAUCUGUGAAAAACAGGUGUACAUCUGCUGCUCGAAUGCGUCUUAAGCGCGUGAGAGAAGAAUAAUGUAGACACUCACCCGUUCCGCUGAGGGAGUAGCUGGGAGAGGGAGAAAAGACUU